GAUGAACGCUGGCGGCGUGCCUAAUACAUGCAAGUCGAGCGAACAGACGAGGAGCUUGCUCCUCUGACGUUAGCGGCGGACGGGUGAGUAACACGUGGAUAACCUACCUAUAAGACUGGGAUAACUUCGGGAAACCGGAGCUAAUACCGGAUAAUAUAUUGAACCGCAUGGUUCAAUAGUGAAAGACGGUUUUGCUGUCACUUAUAGAUGGAUCCGCGCUGCAUUAGCUAGUUGGUAAGGUAACGGCUUACCAAGGCAACGAUGCGUAGCCGACCUGAGAGAGUGAUCGGCCACACGGGAACUGAGACACGGACCAGACUCCUACGGGAGGCAGCAGUAGGGAAUCGUCCGCAAUGGGCGAAAGCCUGACGGAGCAACGCCGCGUGAGUGAUGAAGGUCUUCGGAUCGUAAAACUCUGUUAUUAGGGAAGAACAAAUGUGUAAGUAACUAUGCACGUCUUGACGGUACCUAAUCAGAAAGCCACGGCUAACUACGUG
rnacentral:rRNA from 1 species